rnacentral:misc_RNA from 1 species
GACCAAUUUUGUUUGUUCACGACUAAGUUUAACAGCUGUUCUUUUUCUUCUUCUAUGGAACAGGUUGUAGUUAAUGAGUUUGCUAUCUUCAAAGAUUGUGCAGUAUCGUUUUUUGGAGCAUAAAUACAGAGAACAGGGGUAUAUUAGAAAAGUGAGUGUUUUUCCUUUUGGUGAUAUUGUGUUGGAGAAGUUUCAAGUUUUGGGUCAAUCUUGAAUUUGGUAGAUGGGUUCUUUUCCUGGGCAUGUUCUUCCUGGGACACUGUUUCUUGUGAUUGGUGUGUGGCAUAUAUGGUCUGCUCUUGUUAGAUAUUCAUCAAAUCCCAAGUCAUUUAGGGUAAGGGUUUGGAGCCCUGUUCCGGGUUUUGAUGGGAAGUUGAAAUAUUUGGAACUUUAUGUGGUAGCAAUUGGAGGUUUCAUUGAUUUCUGUAUUGAGCUCUUCUAUUCGACACACCUCAGACUUCUCGUUCAUGGGGCUUUGAAUCCUAUUCAUAUGAAUAACUUUGAGCAUGCUGGAAUGCUUCUAAUGUUCGUCAUCUUUGGUUUGAUUGUGCUUCUUUCAGAGAAAACCAGUUUUCUUCCCUUGCCUGAAGGAGCUCUCUGCUUGAUCGCUGCCACAGCAUUCUCUGCAGAGUAUUUCUUGUUCUUUUUCCACUCCACAACCCACAAAGGCCUCGAAGGGUACUAUCACCUUAUCCUUGUCCUCCUCAUUGGCCUAUGCAUAUUGAGUACUAUCGCUGGAGCUCUUAUGCCCACCAGUUUCCCUAUUGAUUUGGCUAGCGGCAUUUCUGUAGCACUCCAAGGCCUUUGGUUCUAUCAAACUGCAUUCACUCUGUAUGGUCCUAUGAUGCCAGACGGUUGCCAACUCAAAGGGAACGAUGUCAUGUGUCGUUCAGAAGAUAGCGAAGUUCGAGGGGAGUUGCUAGCAAACCUCCAACUUUUCUCCAUAAUAUUUGUUGUCCUUGCUGCCACUGCUGGAGCUUAUGGUUUUGCAGCUUCAGAGACUAGUCAUAAAGAUAUUAGGAAUUCUCAUAUGGCUCUUGAUGGUUAGGAAAAUUGAUAAUAGCAUUAGCCAUUUUUGUAACAUAUUCUUUGGUCAGG